rnacentral:rRNA from 1 species
CAAGCCCUGGAAACGGGGUCUAAUACCGGAUAACACUCCUGCCUGCAUGGGCGGGGGUUAAAAGCUCCGGCGGUGAAGGAUGAGCCCGCGGCCUAUCAGCUUGUUGGUGGGGUAAUGGCCUACCAAGGCGACGACGGGUAGCCGGCCUGAGAGGGCGACCGGCCACACUGGGACUGAGACACGGCCCAGACUCCUACGGGAGGCAGCAGUGGGGAAUAUUGCACAAUGGGCGAAAGCCUGAUGCAGCGACGCCGCGUGAGGGAUGACGGCCUUCGGGUUGUAAACCUCUUUCAGCAGGGAAGAAGCGAAAGUGACGGUACCUGCAGAAGAAGCGCCGGCUAGCUACGUGCCAGCAGCCGCGGUAAUACGUAGGGCGCAAGCGUUGUCCGGAAUUAUUGGGCGUAAAGAGCUCGUAGGCGGCUUGUCACGUCGGAUGUGAAAGCCCGGGGCUUAACCCCGGGUCUGCAUUCGAUACGGGCAGGCUAGAGUAUGGUAGGGGAGAUCGGAAUUCCUGGUG